GUCAGAGGGGGCAAGCGUUGCUCGGAAUUACUGGGCGUAAAGGGCGCGUAGGCGGAAUGGCAAGUCGGUCGUGAAAUCCUUCGGCUCAACCGAAGAACGUCGAUCGAAACUGCCGUUCUUGAGGAUUGCAGAGGAGACUGGAAUUCCCGGUGUAGCGGUGAAAUGUGUAGAGAUCGGGAGGAACACCGGUGGCGAAGGCGGGUCUCUGGGCAAUUCCUGACGCUGAGGCGCGAAAGCGUGGGGAGCAAACGGG
rnacentral:rRNA from 1 species